rnacentral:rRNA from 1 species
AUUGAACGCUGGCGGCAUGCCUUACACAUGCAAGUCGAACGGCAGCACGGGGGCAACCCUGGUGGCGAGUGGCGAACGGGUGAGUAAUGCAUCGGAACGUGUCCUCUUGUGGGGGAUAACCAGUCGAAAGAUUGGCUAAUACCGCAUGAGAUCGCAAGAUGAAAGCGGGGGACCGCAAGGCCUCGCGCGAGAGGAGCGGCCGAUGCCGGAUUAGCUAGUUGGUGGGGUAACGGCCUACCAAGGCGACGAUCCGUAGCUGGUCUGAGAGGACGACCAGCCACACUGGGACUGAGACACGGCCCAGACUCCUACGGGAGGCAGCAGUGGGGAAUUUUGGACAAUGGGCGCAAGCCUGAUCAGCCAUGCCGCGUGUGUGAAGAAGGCCUUCGGGUUGUAAAGCACUUUCGGACGGAACGAAAUCGCGCGGACGAACAUUCCGCGUGGAUGACGGUACCGUAAGAAGAAGCACCGGCUAACUACGUGCCAGCAGCCGCGGUAA